rnacentral:lncRNA from 1 species
CCUUGAAUUGGGUAGGUUUCAUAACCGUUUUUGCAAAGAAUGAUGCCAUCAACAACUUUAAGAAUCUCUGGAACAUAUGGCUUGGUGGGAGGAGUGUAAGUUGGCUUUGAGACAUAUGGCUUGGUGGGAGGAGUGUAUGUUGGUUUUGGAACAUAUGACUUGGUGGGAGGAGUGUAGGUUGGCUUUGGGACAUAUGGCUUGGUGGGUGGAGUGUAGGUUGGCUUUGGGACAUAUGGCUUGGUGGGUGGAGAGUAGGUUGGUUUUGGGACAUAUGGCUUGGUGGGAGAUGUGUAUGUUGGUUUUGGAACAUAUGGCUUGGUGGGUGGAGUGUAGGUUGGCUUUGGGACAUAUGGCUUGGUGGGAGGAGUGUAUACGGGAGGUGGAAGAGUUGGUUUGGUGUAGACCGGAGGGGGAAGGGUUGGCUUGUAAACAGGUGGAGUGUAAACUGGAGGUGGGAGUGUAGGCUUGGGGAUGUAAACCGGAGGGGGAAGCGUGGGUUUGUAUUCUGGUGAUUGGUGAACCGGAGGAGAUGAGGGAGAGUAGUAAGCAGUGGCUAUGGUGGCCAAAGAAAAGAGGAGGCAAAUGGCCAAGGAGGUGCUUUUUAUCGCCAUUGCUGAGAGUGUGGCCUUUCUUUUACCUUACGCUAGUUCUUUUGUUUGUUUCUAAGUGGGAUG